rnacentral:rRNA from 1 species
UGGGGGAAUAUUGCACAAUGGGCGCAAGCCUGAUGCAGCCAUGCCGCGUGUAUGGGAAGAAGGCCUUCGGUUGUAAGUACUUUCAGCGAGGAGGAAGGCGUUGUGGUUAAUAACCGCAGCGUUUGACGUUACUCGCAGAAGAAGCACCGGCUAACUCCGUGCCAG